UCCAACCACGAUGGGCAUCGACAGGC
rnacentral:sRNA from 1 species